rnacentral:rRNA from 1 species
CCAGCAGCUGCGGUAAUUCCAGCUCUAAUAGCGUAUAUUAAAGUUGUUGCAGUUAAAAAGCUCGUAGUCGGAAGUCGGGCUCGGGCAGGCUGUCGGCCUCGGUUGGGCAGCUUGCUUGGGUCUUCUAGCUCGGGGGCCCCGUGCCAUUUAACCGUGGUGCGCGGGAACACGGGCCGUUUACUUUGAAAAAAUUAGAGUGUUCAAAGCAGGCCUACGCUUGAAUACAUUAGCAUGGAAUAAUGGAAUAGGAACUCGUUUCUAUUUUGUUGGUUUUCGGAAAUCGAGUUAAUGAUUAAUAGGGACAAUUGGGGGCAUUAGUAUUCAGACGACAGAGGUGAAAUUCUUGGACCGUCUGAAGACUAACUACUGCGAAAGCAUUUGCCAAGAGUGUUUUCAUUAAUCAAGAACGAAAGU